rnacentral:lncRNA from 1 species
UCUCCCCCUCUCCCUCUUUUAGGUGUGAUUCCAUUGAUAAACUCCGUAAAAGGUGUGAAACCAUUGAUUGAGAGAUACAGGACUCACAACAGUUCAAGGACCUCUACCAGUUUACGUUUAAUGUUGCCAAAAACUCGGGCAGAAAGGACUAGGCUAGUGACAUAAUAUUAUACAUAUCUUGAGAUGGCCAUUGCCUGCUGGAAUCUUAUUUUUACUGGUCGCUUCAAAUUUUUGGACUUGUGGUGUGAAUUUUUAAGAUCUCAUUAUAAAAGAGCUGGCAAUACCCAAAGACACUUGGAACCUUCUGCUAGAGUUUUCAAACAGGAUUGAUGACACCAUAAGCAAUUAUGAUGAAGAUGAAAUGUUCAGCUAAUGGUACAGGAUGUGGUGUUUGUCAUU